AGUGAACGCUGGCGGUAGGCCUAACACAUGCGAGUCGAACGGCAGCACAGUAAGAGCUUGCUCUUACGGGUGGCGAGUGGCGGACGAGUGAGGAAUACAUCGGAAUCUACUUUUUCGUGGGGGAUGACGUAGGGAAACUUACGCUAAUACCGCAUACGACCUACGGGUGAAAGCAGGGGAUCUUCGGACCUUGCGCGAUUGAAUGAGCCGAUGUCGGAUUAGCUAGUUGGCGGGGUAAAGGCCCACCAAGGCGACGAUCCGUAGCUGGUCUGAGAGGAUGAUCAGCCACACUGGAACUGAGACACGGUCCAGACUCCUACGGGAGGCAGCAGUGGGGAAUAUUGGACAAUGGGCGCAAGCCUGAUCCAGCCAUACCGCGUGGGUGAAGAAGGCCUUCGGGUUGUAAAGCCCUUUUGUUGGGAAAGAAAAGCAGCAGGUUAAUACCCCGCUGUUCUGACGGUACCCAAAGAAUAAGCACCGGCUAACUUCGU
rnacentral:rRNA from 1 species